rfam:Dendroctonus ponderosae Seq01004362, whole genome shotgun sequence.
AAGAUCAUACUUCACAGGAUCAUUUCUGUAGUAUAUCUUCACAUACUCUCUUCUCACAAGAUGAGUUUUCGCAACCAUGAGGAUGAGACACAGU